GGCGUAGUGGCGAAGUGGUAACGCAUAGAUCUGCAAAAUCUACAUGCACCGGUCCGAUUCCGGUCUACGCCU
rfam:Parcubacteria bacterium GW2011_GWA2_47_7 TY04_C0012, whole genome shotgun sequence.